UACGGGGGGGGGCAAGCGUUGUUCGGAAUUACUGGGCGUAAAGAGCUCGUAGGUGGUUUGUCGCGUUGUUCGUGAAAACUCACAGCUCAACUGUGGGCGUGCGGGCGAUACGGGCAGACUAGAGUGGUGGUAGGGGAGACUGGAAUUCCUGGUGUAGCGGUGAAAUGCGCAGAUAUCAGGAGGAACACCGAUGGCGAAGGCAGGUCUCUGGGCCACUACUGACGCUGAGAAGCGAAAGCAUGGGGAGCGAACAGG
rnacentral:rRNA from 1 species